rnacentral:rRNA from 1 species
AUGGGAAUGCAGGCGGAUGCGGCGGAGAUGACCGGGCCCCUCCUUGCCGGCGCGCCGUCGGCGGUGGAGGCGGUGCCGCCGUGGCGGGAGCAGCUGACGGUGCGGGGUGUAGUGGUGAGCGCCAUCCUGGGGGUGCUCUUCUGCCUCAUCACGCACAAGCUCAACCUCACGGUGGGGAUCAUUCCUUCGCUCAAUGUCGCCGCGGGCCUGCUCGCCUACUUCCUCGUGCGGACCUGGACCGCGGCGCUGGGCAUGUUCGGCGUCGUCUCCAAGCCCUUCACCAAGCAGGAGAACACCGUCAUCCAGACCUGCGUCGUCGCCUGCUACGGCCUCGCCACCAGCGGAGGAUUCGGAUCGUACAUGCUUGCAAUGGAUCAAAAAACUUAUGAGCUUAUCGGGACUGAUUAUCCUGGUAACAGGGCAGUGGAUGUCAAGAAUCCCUCGCUGAGUUGGAUGAUCGGGUUUAUGUUUGUAGUUAGCUUCAUUGGUAUUUUUAGUCUCGUUGCCCUGCGCAAGGUGAUGGUGAUAAACUAUAAGCUAACCUAUCCCAGAGGAACUGCCACCGCUAUGUUCAUAAACAGUGUCCACGCUGCUACCGGAGAUGAGUUAGUAGAAAAACAAGUUAGUUGUCUCGGAAAGUACUUAAGCAUAAGUUUCCUUUGGAACUGCUUUAAAUGGUUCUUCAGUGGUGUCGGGGAUUCUUGUGGCUUCGACAACUUCCCUUCUCUGGGCCUUGCAGCGUUUAAGAACACGUUUUAUUUUGACUUCAGUCCAACCUAUAUUGGAUGUGGUCUUAUAUGUCCACAUAUAGUUAAUUGCUCUGCACUUCUUGGAGCCAUCAUAUCCUGGGGUUUUCUUUGGCCAUAUAUAUCGACAAAAGCGGGGGAGUGGUACCCAGCUAACCUUGGAAGCAACGACUUCAGAGGACUCUAUGGGUACAAGGUUUUCAUAUCGGUAUCCUUGAUACUUGGUGAUGGUACUUUUAACCUCAUCAAAAUCAUUUAUGCCACUAUCAAGGAAAUAAUGAAUGCACGUUCAAAGCAAGGAAGACUUCCCCUUGUUUGGGUUCAUGGUGGUAAUGCCAUUUUCUUAUUGUACCUAGUUGACCUGCCAUCAUAUCAUACAUCAUGGAUCUCAUCUUGUUUACCUUUUAUAAUUGCAGAUGAUAAGGAUUCCAAAUUAUCAGUCGAGGAAAAGCUUCUAAAUGAGGUGUUUCUAAAAGACAGUAUCCCUCCCUGGUUGGCAGGAUCUGGUUAUGUGGGCCUUGCAGCAAUUUCAACUACAACAGUACCAAUGAUAUUCCCACAACUCAAGUGGUACCUUGUCCUCUUUGCCUAUGUUGUUGCUCCUCUACUUGCCUUCUGCAACUCAUACGGAACUGGACUAACAGAUUGGAACCUUGCAUUCACAUAUGGAAAGAUUGGCCUUUUCAUUUUUGCCUCAUGGGUUGGCCAACAUGGUGGUGUGAUCGCCGGCUUAGCAGCUUGUGGUGUUAUGAUGUCCAUCGUAUCCACAGCUGGUGAUCUCAUGCAUGACUUCAAGACUGGGUACCUGACCCUCUCAUCACCAAGGUCCAUGUUUGUGUCACAGUUGAUUGGCACUUCCCUUGGUUGUGUCAUUGCUCCUCUAACCUUUUGGCUUUACUGGACAUCCUUCGAUAUUGGCAAUCCUGAUGGUAUGUUCAAAGCUCCAUAUGCCGCCAUCUUCCGUGAGAUGUCAAUCAUGGGUGUCGAAGGAUUCUCAGUGUUGCCACGACAUUGCCUAGCAAUAUGCUCUUUCUUCUUCUUUGGAGCCAUAGCAAUCAAGCUCAUCCGGGAUGUCACCCCAAACAGUCUCUCCAAAUUCAUCCCGCUCCCGAUGGCCAUGGCCGUCUCAUUUUACAUUGGGGCAUACUUCGCGAUUGACAUGUUUAUCGGAACUGUCAUCUUGUUUGUAUGGGAGAGGGUGAACCGUAAGGAGGCAGAGGAGUUUGCGGGUGCGGUUGCUUCUGGUUUGAUCUGCGGUGAUGGUAUCUGGAGUGUCCCGUCUGCAAUAUUGUCCAUCAUGAGGAUUGACCCACCGAUGUGCAUGUACUUCAAGCCAUCGUUUACCUAUGGCUGA